CCUACGGGAGGCAGCAGUGGGGAAUAUUGCGCAAUGGGCGAAAGCCUGACGCAGCGACGCCGCGUGAGGGAUGAAGGUCUUCGGAUCGUAAAACUCUGUCAGCAGGGAAGAACGGUCACUUUGCUAAUCAGCAGUGAAUUGACGGUACCUGCAAAGGAAGCACCGGCUAACUCCGUGCCAGCAGCCGCGGUAAUACGGAGGGUGCGUGCGUUAAUCGGAAUUACUGGGCGUAAAGCGCUCGUAGGCGGGAUGUCAAGUCAAGGGUGAAAUCCCCGCGCUCAACGUGGGAAUUGCAUUUGAAACUGGCAAACUUGAGUGUGUGGGAGGAUAGUGGAAUUCGAGGUGUAGGAGUGAAAUCCGUAGAUAUCUGGAGGAACAUCAGUGGCGAAGGCGACUAUCUGGCACAUAACUGACGCUGAGGAGCGAAAGCGUGGGUAGCAAACAGGAUUAGAUACCCCUGUAGUC
rnacentral:rRNA from 1 species